UCUUAUGGUUUGGAUGUGGUGCAGGGGUGUCCCCUAAAGGUUCCUCUGCUGAAGGUUUGGUCCCUGGUGUGAUGCUGCUGGGAGCUGGUGAUACCCCUAAGAGUGAACUGCUAUCCAAGAACAAUCCUUGCCCCUGGAUCCCUCUCUGGCUUGUGGUCUCACAGUGUGCUCUCCUUCUCUCACGUAUUCCUACCAUCAUGCCAUCUGCCAUAUUGUGAUACAGCCCCAGAAGGUGACUGGGCAGUGGAGUCACUUACAGGAAAUGAGCUGGUGCCAGGACCGCCCAGUUGAGAAAAUAUGAACAAGAUGCCUUGUGCCGCUGAUGAACUCCCCACUCCUCGAGCCUCAAGGGAAAGCAGGAAGAUGGGCCCGUAUCCCAGACACUCCCACAUAUGUUCUCCCCUGGCUACACCCCCAGAG